CAACAUGAACAUCUGUGCCAGGACUGGAGAAGGAGCUGUGGUGUGCUAGAAAUGGAUGAUGGAGACAGGCAGAAUGAGAAUGGAAGAAAAAUAGAUAGAAAAAUAUAUAAUUGUAUCAAGCCCAUGAAGCUAAGUAAAGCAUGGUGAAGGGAUUAAGGUCAGGGGAGAGUGCUAUUUCAGAUGGCCAAAGGAGAAGAAGGCCUAUCUGCAAAAGUAACACUUGAGUGAAGACCUGAAAGGAAGAAAGGAGCCACAAGAAGAACAGAAGGAAGAGUAUUUCAGGCAGAGGACAAUACAUAUAAAGGCUAAGACUACAGAGGCCAGGAGUGAAAAAUGAAGACACCAACUAAAAGGCUACUGCAACUGACCAGGCAAGAGCUGUUGCAGGCCUGGAAUAGAACGGUGGUGGUGGGGUGGUGAGAAAUGGUUGAGAUUCCUGAUAUAUUCUCUAAGUUUCAGUGCAAAGACAGGAUGUGAAAGCAGGGAGAGAAUUAAAGACAUCUCCAAGGCUUCUGGUCCAAGCAACUAGAAAAAUGGAAUUGUUAUGAACUGAAAUGAGGCUGACUGAGAAACAGAUAAAGGAGUAAAAUUACUGACAUGCUGAAGAGCCAACUCGACGAAACAUGCAAAGAAAUUCUAGGAAUGCAGCUUGAUCAACAGUGUUCCAAAGAAACAUCAACAUAAAACUAUUUGUGAAGAAACAAAUACAAUGUUUAAAGAAGGUAUCUGAAGGAAACCACGCUCCUUGGAGAAAUGGUGUUUCCAAGUCUUGGCAGAAAAAUACAAGGUGAAAGGGGAACAUCUUACUGUGUCAGAAAGCAAAAAAGCUAUCAAAGAUUAGGUUGUGUCAAAGGAUGUAGAAGUCAGCUUAACGGUUUCCCACUGAUCAAAGAUGAACAACUUGGGCAUCAAAGAGAAUGGCAGAUUGAAACACAAACAUUAUAAAAAUUCAAGGCUGGGUGUGGUGGCCUCAUACCUGUAAUCCCAGC
rnacentral:lncRNA from 1 species